UGGUUCUCGCAUCGAUGAAGAACGCAGCGAAAUGCGAUACGUAAUGUGAAUUGCAGAAUUCAGUGAAUCAUCGAAUCUUUGAACGCACAUUGCACUCCUUGGUAUUCCGAGGAGUAUGCCUGUUUCAGUAUCAUGAGCACUCUCACACCUAACCUUUGGGUUAUGAUGUGGAAUUGGGAUGCGCCGAUUUUUACUAGUCGGCACUCCUAAAAUGUAGCUCUUGGCUGUUUCCUACUACAGCAGUUUGGCCUAAUAGUUUUGACUUUUGUCAAAUCUUUGGCUACAUUUGCUUCUGGAAAUCAGUCUUGAUAAUACAGAAAACUCAUUCAAACUUUGAUCUGAAAUCAGGUAGGGCUACCCGCUGA
rnacentral:misc_RNA from 1 species